ACCGUGGUAAUUCUAGAGCUAAUACAUGCUAAAAACCCCGACUUCGGAAGGGGUGUAUUUAUUAGAUAAAAAACCAAUGCCCUCUGGGCUCUUUGGUGAUUCAUAAUAACUUAACGAAUCGCAUGGCCUUGCGCCGGCGAUGGUUCAUUCAAAUUUCUGCCCUAUCAACUUUCGAUUGUAAGAUAGAGGCUUACAAUGUAUUAACGGGUAACGGGGAAUUAGGGUUCUAUUCCGGAGAGGGAGCCUGAGAAACGGCUACCACAUCCAAGGAAGGCAGCAGGCGCGCAAAUUACCCAAUGCUAAUUCAGCGAGGUAGUGACAAUAAAUACUGAUACGGGGCUCUUUCGGGUCUCGUAAUUGGAAUGAGUACAAUCUAAAUCCCUUAACGAGGAACAAUUGGAGGGCAAGUCUGGUGCCAGCAGCCGCGGUAAUUCCAGCUCCAAUAGCGUAUAUUAAAGUUGUUGCCGUUAAAAAGCUCGUAGUUGAACCUUGGACCUGGCUGAUCUGUCCUCCUAAUCGAGCGCACGGAUUCGGUCGGGUCUUUCCUUCUGGGGAGCCCUAUGCCCUUCACUGGGUGUAGUGGGGAACCAGGACUUUUACCUUGAAAAAAUUAGAGUGUUCAAAGCAGGCCUUUGCUCGAAUACAUUAGCAUGGAAUAAUAGAAUAGGACAUCGGUUCUAUUUUGUUGGUUUCUAGGACCGCUGUAAUGAUUAAUAGGGAUAGUCGGGGGCGUCAGUAUUCAAUUGUCAGAGGUGAAAUUCUUGGAUUUAUUGAAGACUAACUACUGCGAAAGCAUUCGCCAAGGAUGUUUUCAUUAAUCAGUGAACGAAAGUUAGGGGAUCGAAGACGAUCAGAUACCGUCGUAGUCUUAACCAUAAACUAUGCCGACUAGGGAUCGGACGGUGGUUUUUUUAUGCCCCGUUCGGCACCUUACGAGAAAUCAAAGUUUUUGGGCUCGGGGGGGAGUAUGGUCGCAAGGCUGAAACUUAAAGAAAUUGACGGAAGGGCACCACCAGGCGUGGAGCCUGCGGCUUAAUUUGACCACAACACGGGGAAACUCACCAGGUCCAGACAUGCUUAGGAUUGACAGAUUGAUAGCUCUUUCUUGAUUGUAUGGGUGGUGGUGCAUGGCCGUUCUUAGUUGGUGGAGUGAUCUGUCUGCUUAAUUGCGAUAACGAACGAGACCUUGACCUGCUAAAUAGCCAGGUUGACUUCUGUCGGCCGCCGGCUUCUUAGAGGGACUUUUGGCUCAAGCCAAUGGAAGUACGAGGCAAUAACAGGUCUGUGAUGCCCUUAGAUGUUCUGGGCCGCACGCCCGCUACACUGACAGAGCCAGCGAGUACAUCACCUUGGCCGAAAGGUCUGGGUAAUCUUGUUAAACUCUGUCGUGCUGGGGAUAGAGCAUUGCAAUUAUUGCUCUUCAACGAGGAAUGCCUAGUAAGCGCAAGUCAUCAGCUUGCGUUGAUUACGUCCCUGCCCUUUGUACACACCGCCCGUCGCUACUACCGAUUGAAUGGCUCAGUGAGGCCUUGGGACUGGCUCAGAGAGGUCGGCAACGACCACUCAGAGCCGGAAACUUGUUCAAACUUGGUCAUUUAGAGGAAGUAAAAGUCGUAACAAGGUUUCCGUAGGUGAACCUGCGGAAG
rnacentral:rRNA from 1 species